UACGUAGGGUGCAGGCGUUAAUCGGAAUUACUGGGCGUAAAGCGUGCGCAGGCGGUUUCUUAAGUCAGAUGUGAAAGCCCCGGGCUUAACCUGGGAACUGCGUUUGAAACUGGGAGACUUGAGUGUGGCAGAGGGGGGUGGAAUUCCACGUGUAGCAGUGAAAUGCGUAGAUAUGUGGAGGAACACCAGUGGCGAAGGCGGCCUUCUGGACCAAUACUGACGCUCAUGCACGAAAGCGUGGGGAGCAAACAGG
rnacentral:rRNA from 1 species